GACGAACGCUGGCGGCGUGCUUAACACAUGCAAGUCGAACGGAAAGGCCCUGCUUUUGUGGGGUGCUCGAGUGGCGAACGGGUGAGUAACACGUGAGUAACCUGCCCUUGACUUUGGGAUAACUUCAGGAAACUGGGGCUAAUACCGGAUAGGAGCUCCUGCUGCAUGGUGGGGGUUGGAAAGUUUCGGCGGUUGGGGAUGGACUCGCGGCUUAUCAGCUUGUUGGUGGGGUAGUGGCUUACCAAGGCUUUGACGGGUAGCCGGCCUGAGAGGGUGACCGGCCACAUUGGGACUGAGAUGCGGCCCAGACUCCUACGGGAGGCAGCAGUGGGGACUAUUGCACAAUGGGCGGAAGCCUGAUGCAGCAACGCCGCGUGCGGGAUGACGGCCUUCGGGUUGUAAACCGCUUUCGCCUGUGACGAAGCGUGAGUGACGGUAAUGGGUAAAGAAGCACCGGCUAACUACGU
rnacentral:rRNA from 1 species